AUCCAGCUGACGAGUCCCAAAUAGGGCUAAAUGCGGGUUGUCCUGGAU
rnacentral:hammerhead_ribozyme from 1 species